rnacentral:rRNA from 1 species
UACGUAGGCAGCAAGCGUUGUUCGGAAUUACUGGGCGUAAAGAGUGUGUAGGCGGUGCUCUAAGUCUGUUGUGAAAUCUCCCGGCUCAACUGGGAGGGUGCGGCGGAAACUGGAGUGCUCGAGGGUGGGAGAGGUAAGCGGAAUUCCUGGUGUAGCGGUGAAAUGCGUAGAUAUUGGGAGGAACACCAGUGGCGAAGGCGGCUCACUGGACCGGUACUGACGCUGAGGCGCGAAAGCGUGGGGAGCAAACGGG